rnacentral:rRNA from 1 species
UACGUAGGGUGCGAGCGUUAUUCGGAAUUACUGGGCGUAAAGUGUGCGCAGGCGGCUGAGCAAGUCGAGUGUGAAAGCCCCGGGCUUAACUUGGGAAUUGCGCUCGAAACUACUUGGCUUGAGUGUGGGAGAGGAAGGUGGAAUUCCACGUGUAGCAGUGAAAUGCGUAGAGAUCGGCCAGAACACCAGUGGCGAAGGCGGCCUCCUGGGCCAGAACUGACGCUGAGACGCGACAGCGUGGGGAGCAAACGGA